rnacentral:rRNA from 1 species
GACGAACGCUGGCGGCGCGCCUAACACAUGCAAGUCGAGCGAGAACCGGAGCUUCGGCUCCGGGGACAGCGGCGAACGGGUGAGUAACACGUGGAUAACCUGCCCUCGGCACCGGAAUAGCCCGGGGAAACCCGGAUUAAUGCCGGAUAGCCCCACAUCCCUGCGGGGAACGUGGGAAAAGGUAGCUUCGGCCUCUGGCCGAGGAUGGGUCCGCGGUGGAUUAGCUUGUUGGUGCGGGUAAUGGCCCACCAAGGCGACGAUCCAUAGCUGGUCUGAGAGGACGAUCAGCCACACUGGGACUGAGACACGGCCCAGACUCCUACGGGAGGCAGCAGUGGGGAAUAUUGCGCAAUGGGCGAAAGCCUGACGCAGCGACGCCGCGUGAGGGAUGACGGCCUUCGGGUUGUAAACCUCUUUCAGCAGGGACGAAGCGCAAGUGACGGUACCUGCAGAAGAAGGACCGGCCAACUACGUGCCAGCAGCCGCCGUAAUAC